GAUCAUGGCUCANAUUGAACGCUGGCGGCAUGCUUUACACAUGCAAGUCGAACGGCAGCACAGGGAGCUUGCUCCCGGGUGGCGAGUGGCGCACGGGUGAGUAAUACAUCGGAACGUGUCCUAUUGUGGGGGAUAACUGCUCGAAAGGGUGGCUAAUACCGCAUGAGACCUGAGGGUGAAAGCGGGGGAUCGCAAGACCUCGCGCAAUUGGAGCGGCCGAUGCCCGA
rnacentral:rRNA from 1 species